GGUGUUCGGGUUGUCAUGCCAAUGGCACUGCCCGGUAGCUAAAUGCGGAAGAGAUAAGUGCUGAAAGCAUCUAAGCACGAAACUUGCCCCGAGAUGAGUUCUCCCUGACUCUUUAAGGGUCCUGAAGGAACGUUGAAGACGACGACGUUGAUAGGCCGGGUGUGUAAGCGCAGCGAUGCGUUGAGCUAACCGGUACUAAUGAACCGUGAGGCUUAACCUU
rnacentral:rRNA from 1 species